AGUGAACGCUGGCGGUAGGCCUAACACAUGCAAGUCGAACGGCAGCACAGUAAGAGCUUGCUCCUACGGGUGGCGAGUGGCGGACGGGUGAGGAAUACAUCGGAAUCUACUUUUUCGUGGGGGAUAACGUAGGGAAACUUACGCUAAUACCGCAUACGACCUACGGGUGAAAGCAGUGGAUCUUCGGACCUUGCGCGAUUGAAUGAGCCGAUGUCGGAUUAGCUAGUUGGCGGGGUAAAGGCCCACCAAGGCGACGAUCCGUAGCUGGUCUGAGAGGAUGAUCAGCCACACUGGAACUGGGACACGGUCCAGACUCCUACGGGAGGCAGCAGUGGGGAAUAUUGGACAAUGGGCGCAAGCCUGAUCCAGCCAUACCGCGUGGGUGAAGAAGGCCUUCGGGUUGUAAAGCCCUUUUGUUGGGAAAGAAAAGCAGCAGGUUGAUACCCCGCUGUUCUGACGGUACCCAAAGAAUAAGCACCGGCUAACUUCGUG
rnacentral:rRNA from 1 species